rnacentral:rRNA from 1 species
GAUGAACGCUGGCGGCGUGCUUAACACAUGCAAGUCGAACGGAAAGGCCCAAGCUUGCUUGGGUACUCGAGUGGCGAACGGGUGAGUAACACGUGGGUGAUCUGCCCUGCACUUCGGGAUAAGCCUGGGAAACUGGGUCUAAUACCGGAUAGGACCACAUUUUGGAUGGUGUGGUGGAAAGUUUUUCGGUGUGGGAUGAGCUCGCGGCCUAUCAGCUUGUUGGUGGGGUAAUGGCCUACCAAGGCGUCGACGGGUAGCCGGCCUGAGAGGGUGUACGGCCACAUUGGGGCUCAGAUACGGCCCAGACUCCUACGGGGGGCAGCAGUGGGGAAUAUUGCACAAUGGGGGCAAGCCUGAUGCAGCGACGCCGCGUGGGGGAUGACGGCCUUCGGGUUGUAAACUCCUUUCGCUAGGGACGAAGCGUUUUUGUGACGGUACCUGGAGAAGAAGCACCGGCUAACUACGUG